CCACGGAGGGCGCAAGCGUUGCUCGGAAUCACUGGGCGUAAAGCGGGUGUCGGCGGUCUAGCAAGUCAGAUGUGAAAGCCCACGGCUCAACCGUGGAAGUGCAUCUGAAACUGCUAGACUUGAGUGCCGGAGAGGGAAGUGGAAUUCCUGGUGUAGGGGUGAAAUCCGUAGAUAUCAGGAGGAACACCGGUGGCGAAGGCGACUUCCUGGACGGCCACUGACGCUGAGACCCGAAAGCGUGGGGAGCAAACAGGAUUAGAAACCCUAGUAGUCC
rnacentral:rRNA from 1 species